UUUAGCCAUAAGCGAUGCAGUUCAUAACAGAUCAGUUGGAGCAGGAAGCGAAGCUGGAAUUACAUGCUCUGUGUUCUCUUUCAGCGAGGGGUGAGAGGAAGGGCAACGGGGCGAGCGAACGACGGGAACCUGGAGAGAGAGAUUACCUGAACAGCUGGGAUUGUGCAGAAAGAAGGUCAUACAGGUUUGGAACAACAUGAAAACUUCUGGGAAUGCACACGUCUUUCAUCACAGCUGCCACAGGGAGCCCUGUAAUGACAAGCAACCCUGUCGCCUUGAAAAGAUGGAUGUUUUUCCAUGAGGAAGAAGACGUGACCCGUGGGAGGAUGUUGUCUCGAUUUCUCUGCUACUCGCUGAUGAUAACCGACUUCUACCACCCUUAAUAAGCUGGUGAAAUGUGUACGCUCAUUAUAACGAAUAUCCUGGGGUAGAUGUACAUUUCUGUCCAUGCUGUCUUCUGACUUUAGCGUAAUUAGCACCCAGUCGGUCUGAUCUGAUCUGAGAGCAGAGAGCAGGAGUCUGUAGAGAGCAGGUCAUUAUCAGAAGAAUAUCCUCGGGGAAAUCAGGCUUUGGUGAAGGGGAUUUUCUUUUCUGUCUUACCACUGUGCUUCUCAAAUGAAAUAGUAGGUUUACAAAAUGCCUCAAGUGUAAAAAACACCUUUUGAAAUUUAUGUGGUGGAAAUAUUUUUGACAUAUUAUUCUUGAAUUCCAAUCAGAGUAUGCAUCAUUUCAUCCAAACACUCACUGUAGUCAAAAUGUAUUAAUUUAGCAAUUCAAAAAAGCUGGAAACAUUAGUUAACAUGAAGUAAGAAUGAACAAUACUUC